rnacentral:rRNA from 1 species
UACGUAGGGUGCGAGCGUUAAUCGGAAUUACUGGGCGUAAAGCGUGCGCAGGCGGUUUUGUAAGUCAGAUGUGAAAUCCCCGGGCUUAACCUGGGAACUGCAUUGGUGACUGGCGAGCUAGAGUGUGGCAGAGGGGGGUAGAAUUCCACGUGUAGCAGUGAAAUGCGUAGAGAUGUGGAGGAAUACCGAUGGCGAAGGCAGCCCCCUGGGCUAACACUGACGCUCAUGCACGAAAGCGUGGG